AAGAUUCAAGAAGGUUCUGCAGCCACAAACCCUAAUCACACUCUCUCUAUCUCUUUUUAUCUUCUCUCAUUCUCCAUUCUCACACUCCCUCUCUCUGCAAUCCGCAACCAUGUCUCACUUCGGAAGGUCCGGUCCCCCUGACAUCACCGACACCUACUCCCUCCUCGUUCUCAACAUCACCUUCCGCACAACUGCUGAUGACUUGUUCCCUCUCUUCGAUAAGUAUGGGAAAGUUGUCGACAUCUUCAUCCCCAAAGAUCGAAGGACUGGGGAGUCGAGGGGUUUCGCGUUUGUGCGUUACAAGUAUGCUGAUGAGGCUUCAAAGGCUGUUGAUAGGCUUGAUGGAAGAAUGGUUGAUGGUCGUGAAAUAACUGUUCAGUUUGCUAAGUAUGGGCCUAAUGCUGAGAGGAUUCACAAAGGUAGAAUUAUUGAAUCAGAGGAAAGAGCUAAGCAGGGGUCAAGGAGCCGUAGCCCCAGGAGAAGGCAUCGUGAUGAUCACAGAUCCAGCAGAGACAGGGAUUACAGGAGGAGAAGCCGCAGCAGAAGUUAUGAUAAGUAUGAACGUGGUGAUAGGCACCGUGGGAGAGACAGGGAUUAUCGUCGCCGAAGCAGGAGCCGCAGUGCCAGUCUGGAUUACAAAGGUCGUGGAAGGGGGCGUUAUGAUGAUGAGCCUAGUAGAAGCCGGAGCAGAUCAGUGGAUAGCCGCUCCCCUGCACGCCGCAGUCCUAGUCCUCGAAGAAGUCCUUCCCCUAAGAGGAGUGUUUCCCCUAAAAGGAGCACUUCUCCCCGGAAAAGUCCACGGGGUGAAAGUCCUGAUAAUCGUAGCCGUGAUGGACGGUCUCCUACACCUCGCAGUGUCUCACCACGUGGCCGCCCUGUUGCUUCGCGAAGCCCAUCCCCUCGAAAGUCAAAUGGUGAUGAAUAAACUGUUUUUAAUGAAAAAUUCCAGAGACGCCUUGACUAGUGUACCUGUUGCUGUUUUGCUAGUAUUGGAUCAUUUGGUCAAUGUGAAUGGUCUUAUCAGUCAUUGGACGGUUUUAUGAUCUAAGUGCAGUUUGUUAUGAUCGGGAAAUGUGGUGGGGCCUGAUAGGCGCAUGUUGACAUUGUUGCUGUUGAUGCUGUUUCUAUGUCAUUGAUGAUUGGUCGUGAAUUUGAUGCCUGGUUGCAAGAGUAUGCUGGUUUUAGGACUGAUUCUUUUACCAGUGUGCUGCUUAGAAAGGCAAUUAAUUGACUUGGUUUUUUCCUGAUUGAUCUGAUUUUUGGUAAGCUUUUUUGUUUACUUUCUUAUUUCUUCAUAAAUCCCUCAUGACCUCUGGGAAUGCUGAUCUUUUGAUCUAGUAACCGUGAUUGGUAUAAAAAUAGUCCUGAAAGAGAUUUGUGAUGCUGAGAUGGACAAGUUGAACGUAUUUUGACGUGUAGCUGAUGCAUCAUAGGAGUGGGACCUGUCAUAUGUUGAAUCAGAUGGUGAUAAUAUGAACCUAAAUUGCUGGUGUUAUUUUGAAUCUCCGUGAAAGUGACAAUGGUAAAACUUUUCUAGUUACUUUUUUAGGGAUUAUACUGGAUACUUGUUUGACAUUGAUCUUUCAAGAUUAUAACAUCUGCUACUUAAUGUAGUGAGAUAUGUUUGUUGUAGCACAGUGCUCCUUGACUGUAGCUGUGAGGUGAUAGCUGGUCCAUCUUUUAUAUGAAAUACGUGUGUUCGUGAAUAGUUCGAAGAAUUAGCAAAUUACUGUAGCUGACUGUUGCUGCCCUUUUUGCUGGGUCGGGUUGGCAAUGGUAUUAGCAGCUGGUACUGAUGAUGCUGUCUAGCUGUGCUGAUUUUCUGUUGAUUUCAAAGCCGCCUGACAAUUCUUUUCACUAUUUAAGCUCGUGAUUGUUUUUUUAGUUUCAGUUUUAGGCUUUUAGCUAUUCACACAUUUAUUCUUAUGACAAGAUUUAUAUAUUUUUGCUUCAACAUUGUGACACGAUUUGUGGUGUGGUUACUGUUAUGCAACUUAAUUAAUAACCUAUGUGCAUUAGAGA